rnacentral:rRNA from 1 species
CAGUCGCCGCGGUAAUACGAAGGGGGCUAGCGUUGUUCGGAAUUACUGGGCGUAAAGCGCACGUAGGCGGAUCGAUCAGUCAGGGGUGAAAUCCCAGGGCUCAACCCUGGAACUGCCUUUGAUACUGUCGAUCUGGAGUAUGGAAGAGGUGAGUGGAAUUCCGAGUGUAGAGGUGAAAUUCGUAGAUAUUCGGAGGAACACCAGUGGCGAAGGCGGCUCACUGGUCCAUUACUGACGCUGAGGUGCGAAAGCGUGGGGAGCAAACAGGAUUAGAUACCCGCGUAGUCCUGUCUCUUAUACA